rnacentral:rRNA from 1 species
AUGGGCAACUGCUUCACCAAGACGUACGAGAUACCCAUCUCGUCGGGGUCGUUCGAGCGGCCGCCGCCGUCGUUCGGCGAGCAGCCGCCGCCCGCCGGGCACGGCAAGCCGCCGCGGCCGCCGUCGCGCCGUCCGACGUUCCCGAAGCCGCCGCCGCCGCCCAGGCCGUCCGGCCGGCCGCCCCUGCCGAGCUUCCUCUCCGGGUCGCUGUCGCGGAAGGUGCCCGUCGGCGAGAUCGGCCCGGUGCUGCAGCGGCCGAUGGCGGACGUGCGCGCGCUGUACAACCUGGAGCGGAAGCUCGGGAGCGGGCAGUUCGGGACGACGUACCUGUGCACGGAGCGCGCCACGGGGCUCAAGUACGCCUGCAAGUCGGUGUCCAAGCGGAAGCUGGUGCGGCGCGCCGACGUGGAGGACAUGCGCCGGGAGGUGACCAUCCUGCAGCACCUCAGCGGCCAGCCCAACAUCGCCGAGUUCAGGGGCGCCUUCGAGGACGCCGAGAGCGUGCACCUCGUCAUGGAGUUCUGCUCCGGCGGGGAGCUCUUCGACCGCAUCACCGCCAAGGGGAGCUACUCCGAGCGCCAGGCCGCCGCCGUCUGCAGGGACAUCCUCACCGUCGUCCACGUCUGCCACUUCAUGGGGGUCCUGCACCGGGACCUCAAGCCCGAGAACUUCCUGCUCGCCAGCCCCGCCGACGACGCCCCGCUCAAGGCCAUCGACUUCGGCCUCUCCGUCUUCAUCGAAGAAGGAAAGGUGUACAAGGACAUUGUGGGAAGUGCAUACUAUGUGGCGCCAGAAGUACUGCAUCGGAACUAUGGGAGAGAAAUUGAUGUCUGGAGCGCUGGAGUGAUCUUGUACAUUCUCUUAUGCGGUUCACCGCCUUUCUGGGCAGAAACUGAGAAGGGCAUAUUUGACGCAAUACUGGUGGGUCAGCUUGAUUUCAGUAGCAGCCCCUGGCCGACGAUAUCUGAGAGUGCAAAGGAUCUUAUCAGACAAAUGUUAAACAGAGAUCCCAAAAGGCGUAUCACGGCAGCACAGGCCCUAGAACAUCCAUGGCUCAAAGAAGGCGGUGCAUCCGACAGGCCUAUCGACAGCGCAGUCCUAUCAAGAAUGAAGCAAUUCAAGGCGAUGAACAAGCUAAAACAACUGGCGCUUAAGGUAAUUGCAGAGAACCUGUCACCUGAGGAAAUCAAGGGCCUGAAACAGAUGUUCAAUAACAUGGACACAGACAAGAGUGGGACUAUCACAGUUGAAGAACUCAAGAUUGGUUUAACAAAGUUAGGGUCAAAGAUCACUGAGGCAGAGGUUCAGAAGCUUAUGGAAGCAGUUGAUGUAGACAAGAGUGGCAGCAUAGAUUACACAGAAUUCCUGACUGCUAUGAUGAAUAAACAUAAGCUGGAAAAGGAGGAGGAUCUGCUCCAUGCAUUUCAACACUUUGACAAAGAUAACAGCGGGUACAUAUCAAGAGAAGAACUGGAACAAGCCAUGACAGAGUAUGGAAUGGGUGAUGAAGCAAAUAUUAAAGCAGUAUUGGACGAAGUUGACAAAGACAGAGAUGGGAAUAUCGACUACGAAGAGUUUGUGGAAAUGAUGAGGAAGGGAAAAUAG